CUAGGAGGCAGUGUUACAGUUACGAUGGUGUUCAUUGGGUUGAAACAAACCUUUUUGACAGAAUGUUUGAUGCUGAAAUCCGAUGGAUUCCUUUUUUCAGAAACCCACACCGUCAAACGAGCUCCCACACUCUCAACCAGACAGGCUGGAGGACUCCGUCUCAGCAGCCUUUCAUUGCCACCCUGCCUCUGUCUGCGCCCCUGUCUGAGUUUUAAUGAAGAGCAGGGGACCCGUGGAUGGAGCGUCAUUAGGGGGACCCCAAGAUUGCAAAGCUGUGCACUUUACCAGUGUGUUUUUGUGGACACACACACACAUGUGUGUGUGCUUGGGUUUUUGGAGGCUUAAUCCUGCAGAAGGAUGAAAAACAUAUGCAGCAUAUUAUGUGUGAAUCCCACUGACAUCCUCAUCAAUGGCUUUCUCUGUCUUAACAUCAAGGCCUGGGAAUGUGUCUGUGCAUGCUGCUGGUCCCAUAUGGUAAUCGCCGCUUUUGCUUUUGACACCAAAGCAGCUUUCAUUGCAACAACGUUCAAGUUUAGUUCAGACCUGAUUAUAAAAUGGACAAAAGAAACCUGAAGGUGUCUCAUUUUUACACUCAAACAACCGUGGAAUUGUUUUUUGUUACAUAUAAAAGUCUGGGAAUUUCAUAUUUUUAAUUCAAGAUUUGCAAGCUAUCUGUGUUAAUUGGGUUUCAUUUUAAUUUUUUUGCGAAACAACAUUGUUUUUUCUUUUAAUCAAAAUGCAGAAGAUGUCCUUUUAUGCCUAAAUGCAUUAUAAAUUAUAGUAAAAAAAUAUUCUAUGUUUUUUCCUUCCAAGGUGAGGCCAAAUUAGUCCUGGAUUUA
rnacentral:lncRNA from 1 species